UAUUGAAACCCUGGUUCCCAUAUGAUCACCGAUGUUAAGCAACCUUGGGCCUGGUCAGUACCUAGAUGGGUGACUAUUUGGGAAUACCGGG